UUGGAGGGCAAGUCUGGUGCCAGCAGCCGCGGUAAUUCCAGCUCCAAUAGCGUAUAUUAAAGUUGUUGCAGUUAAAAAGCUCGUAGUUGAAUUUCGGGAUCAAUCUGUUGGUCGUGCCUUUGGUACGUACUAGCUUAUUGAUUUCUCCCUUCUGACGAACCAUGAUGUCAUUAAUUUGGUGUCAUGGGGAAUCAGGACUGUUACUUUGAAAAAAAUUAGAGUGUUUAAAGCAGGCUCACGCUUGAAUACAUUAGCAUGGAAUAAUGAAAUAGGACGUUUUGAUUCUAUUUUGUUGGUUUCUAGGAUCGACGUAAUGAUUAAUAGGGAUAGUUAGGGGCAUUAGUAUUCAAUUGUCAGAGGUGAAAUUCUUGGAUUUAUUGAAGACUAACUACUGCGAAAGCAUUUGCCAAGGAUGUUUUCAUUAAUCAAGAACGAAAGUUAGGGGAUCGAAGACGAUCAGAUACCGUCGUAGUCUUAACCAUAAACUAUGCCGACUAGGGAUCGGAUGAUGUUAAUUUUUUAAUGACUCAUUCGGCGCCUUACGGGAAACCAAAGUGUUUGGGUUC
rnacentral:rRNA from 1 species